CUUUUUUUUUUUUUUGUCUCUGUAAUUUGGCUAUACUGUUGCGAUGUUUCGCUGUCCAACUUGGAAUUGUUUAGGAUCUAUAUAAAGCUUAGUCAAGUCCUUAUAUCAAGAAAAAAAGGAGCUAUUUCUGGCACAGUGGUAAAAUUCUCAAGCAGCUCAGUUCAAAGUUGCAAACACGUGCUUCGAGUCACAAGAGCGAUAUCUUCAUACAAAAUGGCUAAAGUUAGGGCUGUGUCCAAGUCAUCCAUUACAGUUAACCUGUUAGAUGAGGUCCUAGGUCCUAGGGCAGUGGGCAUUUGAUACAUAUGAAUAAUGGUGGAUUAACUUACUGAGAAGGUGCAGUAUAUAUCUGAUUCAUUCUAUUUGUUAAAACUAUGAUAAACCUGUAAAUGAGUUUGAUUUCAAAUUUUGAAAUAUGCCUGGCUCUUUGACUAUCAGAGUGGCCUUGUUAGUACGUUGAAUAGUUUUUUUAAAAACAAGUCUCUUUGGAGUUGAAAAUAGAUAAACCUCAUAGUAGGAAUUCAUGGUGCUUGCUGUCGUACAAUUGAGAGCAAAGAAUUCGAUGUUGCAUGUUGACAUUUCCACCACACAAGUAAUAUAAUUCCAUGAUGAGAAAUAUCUCUACCAAAGUUAAUACACUCCCAAUCAAUAUUGUUUUCAUAUUCUUAUCAUUGUGGAUCAGUUCAUUUAUUGUUUUGUACUCCCAGAUCCUUUACUUAUACUUGUGGACAAGUAAGACAUCCUCUUGACAUUUACUUAUUUGAUGAUUUACUGUGUUAUAGGUCCUUUUGGUAUAUUUUGGAUAUUCUUUCUUGAUUCCUAUGUGGAUGCUGUGUGUGUACCAGUUUGGAUGUUAAGUUGCUACUGAGCUUAUGUUCUAAUCUUAAUUCUUCUCAUCAUGCAAGUCAUUCUAUCAUCUAUGUUUUUGGCAUG
rnacentral:misc_RNA from 1 species